rnacentral:rRNA from 1 species
CAAACUGGAGAUGGCGACCGGCGCACGGGUGAGUAACACGUAUCCAACCUGCCGAUAACUCGGGGAUAGCCUUUCGAAAGAAAGAUUAAUACCCGAUGGCAUAAUAGAACCGCAUGGUUUGAUUAUUAAAGAAUUUCGGUUAUCGAUGGGGAUGCGUUCCAUUAGGCAGUUGGUGGGGUAACGGCCCACCAAACCUUCGAUGGAUAGGGGUUCUGAGAGGAAGGUCCCCCACAUUGGAACUGAGACACGGCCCAGACUCCUACGGGAGGCAGCAUG